rnacentral:rRNA from 1 species
CUUAAAUAAAGCGUCUCAUUGAAAAUGAGGAAGAUGGAUACUUUUGUACCCCGUGUCAGGCUUGUUAGGAGGGUUUGAUUAUGGCCCUAGAUUUAUUAACAAAAUGCUUCUCAUGAUAUUAAUUGUAGACUUGAUUCGAGUGUGGUAGGGUUCAACAUCAGUGGGGAGAAUUGGUUAAUAAAGGAAACUUUAACCCAGCUUUUUGGUUGUUUCGGGGCUAAUUGAUGAAUGCCAGCAGCCGCGGUUAGAUUCAGUUCGAAUAUAAAUUUGAGCGGAUUGGUUAGAGUCAAAGUAAAAGUUGUAAAACUAUAAAAAAACUAUAGGUGCAGUGUAAUGUUAACGGUUUUUUGUGGUUGUAUUCCUAAAGUUUUAUUAAGUUUCUAAUGAAUCUAUGAAGUGAAACCAGGAUUAGAUACCCUGUUAUCCAUAGUUUAAAAUAGAGUUUCUACUUAACUAAACAUUUGGUUGUCAAAGAGAAAUAAAUAGGCGGUGUCUGAAUUAGAAAACAGGGGAUCCUGGGUGUUAAAGGACAAUCCACCUACAUUUGCGCCUUAGCUUAUUAGUGCGUGUGUAUGGUUGUUUACUCUAAUAUGAUAAGUGUCCGGGUGCAGAUUUUGGUGAUUAGCCAAGUUAAAGUUAUUUUUACCCGUCAAAGUUAGUAAAAAUUCUUGACUUGGAUUUAGUAUAAUUAUGAGUAUAGCUUAUGGCUUUCGUAAUGUAGCUUCAAAAAUAAUUCAGAUUGACAUGCAGCUUAUGCUAAGGUUAGCCUGGGAUACAGAUGUAACCAAGCAGUAAUUUAAGAUCUAAUUUAUUCAGAAUAAAUCAGAUAAAUUGACGGACAAGGUAAGAAAACUUUACUCUGAAGAAGGACUUGUAAGUAAGGGCUAAAAAUAAAGCGGCUCUGAAUACAAUCAGAUGAGUACUAAUCGCCCGUCGCUCGCGGGGA